GCGGGGCAACUCUGACGUCAACGCGCUGCUCGCCUCGCAGCCCCAUUGCGUCACUGCCGACGUCAAAGCCCUGCCCUUGCGCCCCUCAGCCCCGCGGGGAAAGGAGGGGGGGAGCGCCGAACUACAUCUCCCAUGACCGCCGUGGCCCGCGGGGGCCUCGACAGCGCGGAUGGCGGGGCUGGCAGGGGCCGCCUGCACGGCUGGCGCCCCUCAGGCUCCGGAGUGCUCCGGGCGGGCUCCUUCCUGAGGGGAGCGCAGGGCGACCCCUCACAUCAUUAAGCUUCCCCGCGGCCGGCGGCUAAAAAUACUCCCCACAGCUCCUCCCAUGUGGUGCAUACUCAACUGUAACUGAGUUCAUGAUCCUCCUGAGUUAUGAUGAAGAGCAAUGGCUUGAGACCAUGGAACUGGGAGUACUGGCACAUGGAUAACCCUGUCUGAGGAGCAGCUGGAUAUCUGGUGACCAGACACUUCUGGGUUUUAACAUGGGCCCAGUAAAAGCUAUUUUCAGCCUAAAUGAUCUUUGAUACUGAAACUGGAGUUAACCUGGAUGGACCCAGCACACCUUGGUGUGGGAGGAAGAAGAGCCCAGUGUGAGACCUCUCUCCAGGAACAGCACUCCCACAGCUCCACCUACUCGUGGCUGGAACCCAAAGGCCUGCCAACAUUCAUUUUUCCCUGCACCAAAUCAUUUAAAUAAACUUGCCCAGUGUAGG